rnacentral:rRNA from 1 species
AUUGAACGCUGGCGGCAGGCCUAACACAUGCAAGUAGAGCGGAGCGGCGGACGGGUGAGUAAUGCCUAGGAAUCUGCCUGGUCGUGGGGGAUAACGUCCGGAAACGGGAGCUAAUACCGCAUCCUAUCAGAUGAGCCUAGGUCGGAUUAGCUAGUGGGUGGGGUAAAGGCCUACCAAGGCGACGAUCCGUAACUGGUCUGAGAGGAUGACCAGCCACACUGGAACUGAGACACGGGCCAGACUCCUACGGGAGGCAGCAGUGGGGAAGAUUGCACAAUGGGCGCAAGCCUGAUGCAGCCAUGCCGCGUGUAUGAAGAAGGCUUUCGGGUUGUAAGGUACUUUCAGCGGGGAGGCGUUACCCGCAGAAGAAGCGCCGGCUAACUCCGUGCCAGCAGCCGCGGUAAUAC